UGAGGAAUAUUGGUCAAUGGUCGCGAGACUGAACCAGCCAAGUAGCGUGCAGGACGACGGCCCUCUGGGUUGUAAACUGCUUUUAGUUGGGAAUAAAAGGCGGUACGUGUACCGCGUAUUGUAUGUACCAUCAGAAAAAGGACCGGCUAAUUCCGUGCCAGCAGCCGCGGUAAUACGGAAGGUCCAGGCGUUAUCCGGAUUUAUUGGGUUUAAAGGGAGCGUAGGCGGAUUUUUAAGUCAGUUGUGAAAGUUUGAGGCUCAACCUUAAAAUUGCAGUUGAAACUGGAAGUCUUGAGUGCACGCAGAGGUGCCGGAAUUCAUGGUGUAGCGGUGAAAUGCUUAGAUAUCAUGAAGAACUCCGAUCGCGAAGGCAAGUGCCUGGAGUGCUACUGACGCUGAGGCUCGAAAGUGCGGGUAUCAAACAGG
rnacentral:rRNA from 1 species